rnacentral:rRNA from 1 species
ACUCCUGCGGGAGGCAGCAGUAGGGAAUCUUCCACAAUGGGUGCAAACCUGAUGGAGCAAUGCCGCGUGAGUGAAGAAGGUCUUCGGAUCGUAAAGCUCUGUUGUUAGAGAAGAACACGUGCUAGGUAACUACUAGCGCCUUGACGGUAUCUAACCAGAAAGUCACGGCUAACUACGUGCCAGCAGCCGCGGUAAUACGUAGGUGACAAGCGUUGUCCGGAUUUAUUGGGCGUAAAGGGAGCGCAGGCGGUCUGUUUAGUCUAAUGUGAAAGCCCACGGCUUAACCGUGGAACGGCAUUGGAAACUGACAGACUUGAAUGUAGAAGAGGAAAAUGGAAUUCCAAGUGUAGCGGUGGAAUGCGUAGAUAUUUGGAGGAACACCAGUGGCGAAGGCGAUUUUCUGGUCUAACAUUGACGCUGAGGCUCGAAAGCGUGGGGAGCGAACAGGAUUAGAAACCCUAGUAGUCCCA